rnacentral:lncRNA from 1 species
AUGGGGUCUUGCUAUCCCUCACCCAUGGGGUGCCCCACCCCAUGCAAGGAGGGCAGGGAGGUGUUGGGGGUGCAGCUGGGUGGGGCAGCAAGGCUCAAUCCUGCCUGCUGCAGGGUGCUAUGCUGCAGGACCUGGCAGCUCCCUGAAGAAACCCCUCCAGGGACCCCCAAAGGUCCUUCUCACUGCAGCGCAGUGAGCGGAGUACAGCUGGGCAGAGUCUGCAGUGCAGAGGCAAAAGGGCUGCCCCUGCAGUCACAGCUUUGCCUCUUUUCCUGCUCACCCCCUGGUCCCUGUCUCCUUGCCAGACAGGCAGGCUACGUGGCCCAAACAUCACAGCUCCGGCCCCGCGGCUGCCCAGUGCCCAGUCUGCUGCACCCCUCAGCAGGCUCCAGGCUGCUCCCUGGCCAGCCCUUGGCUGAUCCCCGAGACCCCUGGAUGGUUUGCACCAGACGGAUGGCUCUGGCUCCCAGGGAUCCAUCAUCUCCCAGCCGACCCAUGCCCUGCCGGAGCCCCAGCCCUUCACCGGCAGCUCCUUCCAGGUGGUAUGGCACCUCAUUGUCCCGCUCGCAGGAUCGGGUCCCCCGAGCCCGGAUUAGCUCCCCCAGCUCCCGGGCUGGCUGGCAGCUCCCUCCCCAUCGGAUGUCCCUGGAGCACCGGCAGGACCCGAGCUGCCACCCCACACCUGCCCCGCUGCGGGGCUCCGGUGGGAGGGCCUGGGGUGCUGGGCACCCCGCUCCUCUCCGCUGCAACGGGACGGCGGCUCCCACCGUCGGGGCUCGGCUGCUUUCCCCGUGGGCUUUGGCGGCGGGAUGCCCCCAGCCCCAGCCGCCCGCAGCAGCAGGGAGCGGGGCUCCGCAGCCGCCGUGUCCUGCGUGGACAGUGCCCGCGACGCUGACCGGAGCGGGUCCCCGAUGGCUGCGGGGCCGGGAAGGGUGGGGGCGCCCCGCGGGGCUCCCGCUGCGUGCGGAACGGGGGGAGCGGGGCCGGUCCAGGGGAAGGGGCAGCGGUGCUCUUACCUUUCUGCACUCCGGGGCUGAGAGACCCCCACGCCUGGCUCUUCCCGUCUUUGAACAAAGUUUCCCCGACUGGAUCUGGGGGAAAAAAAGGGGCGCGGGUGGGGGUGGAGGGGGGGGCUGGAGCCAGGCGGGACCGCUACCCCCCGCGCCCACCCGCGGGCAGACUCCCUGCAGCCCCCGGCCGCUCCCCCUCGCCUGCCCCGCCGCCGCGGCGAAGCCAGGAAACGCGUCCAGGAAAAAGGAAAUCGGAUUUCCGACCGAGCCGGGGAAGCUUUUAAAUAGGAAUAGAAAAUCCCGCGGGCUGGGGUAG